rnacentral:rRNA from 1 species
CCUACGGGGCGCAGCAGUAGGGAAUCUUCCACAAUGGACGAAAGUCUGAUGGAGCAACGCCGCGUGAGUGAAGAAGGGUUUCGGCUCGUAAAGCUCUGUUGGUAGUGAAGAAAGAUAGAGGUAGUAACUGGCCUUUAUUUGACGGUAAUUACUUAGAAAGUCACGGCUAACUACGUGCCAGCAGCCGCGGUAGUACGUAGGUGGCGAGCGUUGUCCGGAUUUAUUGGGCGGAAAGCGAGUGUAGGCGGUUCAAUAAG